GCAUAUCAAUAAGCGGAGGAAAAGAAACCCAACAGGGAUUGCCCCAGUAACGGCGAGUGAAGCGGCAACAGCUCAAAUUUGAAAUCUGGCUUCGGCCCGAGUUGUAAUUUGCAGAGGAAGCUUUAGGCGCGGCACCAUCUGAGUCCCCUGGAACGGGGCGCCACAGAGGGUGAGAGCCCCGUAUAGAUGGACGCCUAGCCUGUGUAAAGCUCCUUCGACGAGUCGAGUAGUUUGGGAAUGCUGCUCUAAAUGGGAGGUAAAUUUCUUCUAAAGCUAAAUACCGGCCAGAGACCGAUAGCGCACAAGUAGAGUGAUCGAAAGAUGAAAAGCACUUUGAAAAGAGGGUUAAAUAGCACGUGAAAUUGUUGAAAAGGGAAGCGCUUGUGACCAGACUUGCGCCGGGCGGAUCAUCCGGUGUUCUCACCGGUGCACUCCGCCCGGCUCAGGCCAGCAUCGGUUCUCGUGGGGGGACAAAGGUCCCGGGAACGUAGCUCCUCCGGGAGUGUUAUAGCCCGGGGCGUAAUGCCCUCGCGGGGACCGAGGACCGCGCUUCGGCAAGGAUGCUGGCGUAAUGGUCAUCAGCGACCCGUCUUGAAACACGGACCAAGGAGUCAAGGUUUUGCGCGAGUGUUUGGGUGUAAAACCCGCACGCGUAAUGAAAGUGAACGUAGGUGAGAGCUUCGGCGCAUCAUCGACCGAUCCUGAUGUUUUCGGAUGGAUUUGAGUAGGAGCGUUAAGCCUUGGACCCGAAAGAUGGUGAACUAUGCUUGGAUAGGGUGAAGCCAGAGGAAACUCUGGUGGAGGCUCGCAGCGGUUCUGACGUGCAAAUCGAUCGUCAAAUCUGAGCAUGGGGGCGAAAGACUAAUCGAACCAUCUAGUAGCUGGUUACCGCCGAAG
rnacentral:rRNA from 1 species